GGAACCCCGAACCGAAAAGUGACUCGUGUCCUCCCCGUCUCCAUGCCGCGCACGCGCGUACCUGUUCUGCCAGCCCUGGAUCAGUGGCACUGUGGGUCUCCUCCAGCGUUCUCCUGUUAGAAAGGAAGAGCAGAGCGCAGACACUCCCACUCCACUCUGGACCGGCCCCCGGAUGUUACGAUGCAAUCCCAAUAUACACAUGAUCAUACCAACACAAAAAUGAUAGCCAACCACCCUGAACAAUAAUCUUCUGUAUUGGUCCCAAUGUGGGAAGAGUUGCACACUGGACAACUUCUUUAAGUUAUUGUGUGUCAAAGAAAAAGACAUCCCACCACCAAAGUGUAAGAAAAAGUCAGUAUCUGUGCAGCAUCAGCAUCAUGCCCAUAAAUGUUGAAUGACUAUAUUUCACUGCAUCUUGAGAUUAAAUGAAGCAAAAAUAAAAGGA